CCUACGGGAGGCAGCAGUGGGGAAUAUUGGACAAUGGGCGCAAGCCUGAUCCAGCCAUACCGCGUGGGUGAAGAAGGCCUUCGGGUUGUAAAGCCCUUUUGUUGGGAAAGAAAAGCAUUCGGUUAAUACCCGGGUGUUCUGACGGUACCCAAAGAAUAAGCACCGGCUAACUUCGUGCCAGCAGCCGCGGUAAU
rnacentral:rRNA from 1 species